GUAGCUUUCCUUCUUGCAAGCGAAACGGAGGGAUAUGAGAGUGGCAGCAAUCUCUCUCGUCCCUAGGCUCUUCUGCUCCAGACCUCCCAUUAUUCUCAGUACCAACGCCUCAUUUCCUUUUGUAUCCCCUCAAUCCCCCAUCUUUUCCUUCUCAUCCUCCGCCAUCUCCUCAGAUCCGGCUGCCGACGACCCCACCGCUACUGCCGACCCCGCUGCCGCCGCUGCUCUACUCCAGUGGGGAUGCACUCCCGCCGAGGUCUCCACAAUUCUCCGCCGCUGCUCUUCUCUUCCCCUCCCAAACAUCCGCUCCGUCCACGACAAGCUCGAGAUCCUCAACACACUCGGCGCCCGUGGCCCCGACCUCGUCAAGAUUCUCAUUCGCCGCCCGCUCUUCCUCUCUCGCCCCCUCGCUUCUGACAUUGACCGCCGCCUCGAAUUCCUCCGCACCCUUUUUCCCUCCGAUCCUCGCGCCCUCCUCCGCGCCGUCGUCUGCAAUCCCUCCCUUCUCACUUUCGAUGUCGACGCCAUUCUCCUCCGUUGCGCAGAUCUCUACGAGGGCAUCGGCAUUCCUCGCCCUGUACUUGGCCGGUUGCUCUUCUCCCGGCCCACCAUCAUUCCCUGCUCCUCCCUCGACGACGAUAAGCUUGACCUAAUCCGCCGAAUCGGCCUCCGGCCGCACGCCGCCUUGUACAAGUACGCCGUCUCCAUCAUUGCCAUCUCCAGAUUUGACACAAUUCGAAGCAAGAUCGCCAAUUUUGAGAGGUUCGGGCUCUCGGAGGAUGAGGUUUUGAGUGAUUUGUUCGCUCGUUACCCCAGUGCGCUUACUCUCUCUGUCGAUAAGAUUCAGAGAAACAUGACCUAUGUUCUUGGGAUCAUGAAGCUCCCGGUCCGGGCUGUCAUCGAGGAGCCUAAGUUGCUCUCGGUCAAUCUGGAUAGGUGUUUGAAGCCUCGAUUCUUGAUCUGGCGAAGAUUACAGGAGGUGGGGCUGAAACCUCGUGGAAAGGAGCUAACUGUGGUGUCGGCCAUGAGGAUGAGAGAACAGCAAUUCCUCAAGGCGUUUAUAAAAUGCCAUGAGAAUGAAGAUGCUAAAUCCUUGAUGGAACUUUAUGACAGUGCCAUGGUUUCGAGGAGGCUGGCAGAGUCAUCGAAGAAGAAGAUUAUGCGCAAAGCGUUUCCUUACUAAUCUGCUUGGACUCAAUAUUACAACAACAACAACAACAACAAAAUUAAGCAUUUCUCCCACUACAUGAGGUUUAACCGGAGGUGAAUCAAGUGCAGUCACAUCAGCGGUACCUAGGGAAGGAGUGACAUGGUGCAUUCUGAUUGGUCUUUGAACGGUGUUCGGCGACCGCACAGAAUAAUUUUUCCAAAGAUUGAAUAGUUGAAUGCCUAUAUGAACAAAGAGCAGAUGCUUAGAUUAACAUAGAUCUCGAUCAUAAAUUAAAGAGAAAGAAUGGAGAAAAAGCAGAAAAUGUUUUAUUAAAUAUCAUAAAUUUAUAGUUCAUAAGUUAUAAAAAAAUUAUUUAAGUCAAAAAAUAUAUUUUUUUGACCAAAAAGGAUUAAUGAGUUAGAUUUUGGUUGAAAUUUUUGACUCAUUUAUUAAAAAUGUCUUAUUCAAGUUGGGUUAAUUUUAGAUCAGGCCUAAGUCCGAUCUGUCAACCCAUUUUGACAUUUAUACUCAUAAUAUAAUGUUAUUUUAAUUUAAUCUCCCUAUUAUAU